AUCAUUUGAAUCGUCUUAGGGCUCUGGGUCAUUUCCCCCUCUCCUCGCUGAUUGCCUGCCAUUCUAUCGCGCUCUAUUCAUCUUCUCAAUUCCUGUAGAGAGAGACUUGUUGUAAAUUUAGAGAGAGAUAGAGGAGAGAGAUACUUGGGAAUUCAAUGAGUGAGAAACCCUAGAACUCCAUCGUUCUGUAGGAUUGAAGGCAGCUGCAAGCUGGCAGAGUUAUGACUAAAAUAGAGCUUCCUCUUCGAUGGAGAGGUAUUGUAGAACUAGAAGACCAAGCAGCCUCUGAUUCUCUCAAAAUUAAGCGUUCGCAGAACUAUGGAAGAAUGGAUCUAAGGAUGAAGAUGAGGAAGACGAUUAGUGGCUGGUAUUAGUCAAGUGGCCUUUACUCUUUGGGUCCUAACAUAAUUGGCGUUGCUCUUCACUCUGUUGAUUAUCGCUUCUUAUGGCCUUGUCAGUUGGACCAUCCUUCUCGCAAUGGCUUGAAGUUGAUGGAAGAAAGCAAUGGAAGCAAGAACUUGAAUGAUGCAUAGGAGCUUACUGAGUUACAAGUUGAAAAGAGGACUGUUGGGUGUUACUGGGUUUAUGCAGUAAAAUAUCAACCUUAUGGCACCAUCGGGAGAUUAAAAGCUAGAUUUUCUGAACGAUACACCCAAACCUUUAGCAUUGAUUGCUCUGAAACUUUUGCUCUUAUUACUAAACUUAAUUCAGUUCGAGUACUUAUAUUUGUAGCAGCAAACAAGGGAUGGCUACUGCGGCAACUUGAUGUGAAGAGUGCCUUCUUCAAUGGUGAUUUACAAGAGGAGAUAUAUAUGUAGCGACUGCUUGGGUUUGUUGCUCAGGGGGAUUCAAACAAGGUGAGUAAGUUGAAGAAAGUUGUUUACGGGUUGAAGCAGGCCCCACAUGAAUGAUUUGUGGGCAUAUGGAUUUUGAUGCAGCAAUUCAGAUCAUUCGGUGUUUAUUUGGAAACAAGACUUAAAGAUAAUUGUCUUAGUUGUAUAUGUUGAUGAUAUUGUCAUUGCAAUCAAUGAUCAAGAAUAAUCAAUUAUUUGAAGAGAUAUCUAAAACAAUAUGUUCAGACAAAGGAUUUCGCCAGCUAAGGUCUUUGACGCCUUCAACUAUGUGAUUUUAUUGUCCAAGGGAAGCCUUAUAUGAUGUGGCAAUUGGGAACUAAUGGGCCCACUUUCCGAGACCUUCCAUGACUAGUUGGACUUCAUGUGAUUUAAGUGUCAGAGAGAGAGAGAGAGAGAACUAUCUCUGAGUGAGAGAGAGAGACUUCAUGUUGUUUAAAUGUGCUUGUGAGAGAAACCCAACCUACUGCAUGUUCAAGUUUUUCAUUUGUGCAUGAGAGAGAGACACUAGUCCAACUUGUCCAUCUAAGAGAGAGAGAGAGAGAGAGAGA